UACGGGGGGGGGCAAGCGUUGUUCGGAAUUACUGGGCGUAAAGGGUGCGUAGGCGGGUCUUUAAGUCAGGGGUGAAAUCCUGGAGCUCAACUCCAGAACUGCCUUUGAUACUGAAGAUCUUGAGUUCGGGAGAGGUGAGUGGAACUGCGAGUGUAGAGGUGAAAUUCGUAGAUAUUCGCAAGAACACCAGUGGCGAAGGCGGACUCACUGGCCCGGAUACUGACGCUGAGGCACGAA
rnacentral:rRNA from 1 species